rnacentral:rRNA from 1 species
CUAACAAUGCUAGGAUUCUAACCCUACACCGUUAUCCGGUUAGGGGACAGUUUCAGGUGGUCAGUUUGACUGGGGCGGUCGCCUCCCAAAAAGUAACGGAGGCGUGCAAAGGUUUCCUCAGGCUGGUCGGAAAUCAGUCGUAGAGUGUAAAGGCAUAAGGAAGCUUGAUUGUGAGACCUACAAGUCGAACAAAGACGAAAGUCGGCCUUAGUGAUCCGACGGUUCCGAGUGGAAGGGCCGUCGCUCAACGGAUAAAAGUUACUC